AACGAACGCUGGCGGCAUGCCUAACACAUGCAAGUCGAACGAGACCUUCGGGUCUAGUGGCGCACGGGUGCGUAACGCGUGGGAACCUGCCCUUAGGUUCGGAAUAACUCCCCGAAAGGGGUGCUAAUACCGGAUAAUGUCUUCGGACCAAAGAUUUAUCGCCUUUGGAUGGGCCCGCGUUGGAUUAGCUGGUUGGUAGGGUAAAAGCCUACCAAGGCGACGAUCCAUAGCUGGUCUGAGAGGAUGAUCAGCCACACUGGGGCUGAGACACGGCCCAGACUCCUACGGGAGGGAGGAGUGGGGAAUAUUGGACAAUGGGCGAAAGCCUGAUCCAGCAAUGCCGCGUGAGUGAUGAAGGCCUUAGGGUUGUAAAGCUCUUUUACCCGGGAUGAUAAUGACGGUACCGGGAGAAUAAGCUCCGGCUAACUCCGUG
rnacentral:rRNA from 1 species